ensembl:misc_RNA Metazoa_SRP Metazoan signal recognition particle RNA
GCUGGGCAUGGUGGUGUGUACCUGUAAUCCUAGCUACUUGGGAGGCUGAGGUAGGAGAAUUGCUUGAACCCAGGAGGCAGAGGUUGCAGUGAGCCAAUAUUGCGCCACUGCACUCCAGCCUGGGUGACAGAGUGAGAUUCUAUCUCAA